GACGAACGCUGGCGGCGUGCCUAACACAUGCAAGUCCACGAGAAAGCGGUAGCAAUACUGCCGGUAAAGUGGCGAACGGGUGAGUAACACGUAGGUAACUUGCCCUUGGGACUGGAAUAACCUCGAGAAAUCGGGGCUAAUACCGGAUAAUGCAGCGGACCCGCAUGGGUAUGUUGUUAAAGUGGUCUUGGCUUGCCAAGUUCACACCUAAGGAUGGACCUGCGUCCCAUUAGCUAGUUGGNGAGGUAACGGCUCACCAAGGCGACGAUGGGUAGCCGGCCUGAGAGGGUGUCCGGCCACACUGGGACUGAGAUACGGCCCAGACUCCUACGGGAGGCAGCAGUGAGGAAUAUUGACAAUGGGGCAACCCUGAUCCAGCGACGCCGCGUGGGUGAAGAAGG
rnacentral:rRNA from 1 species